CAAAAAGAAAGAGAGAGAGCGCACGGAGAGGCCCAGUGUUCGACAAUACCUUCACCACGGGAGUGCUCGGCCGAGCCCCCCGAAAACAAAAGAGGCCACUUCAAAAUCAAAAAAGAGAGCAACGCUCCCUUCACCCCAACGGCCAGUGAAACCUCAGCAGUGCGCCAAGCGCCGGGGACGCCGCGUUCACCUCCAUCUUUACCCGAUCAAGUACGAGACCCCGUCGUCCUUUCGACAACAGCACAUCAGGACAGCAGGGUGGGGAGCAUUAAAAACACACACACACACACACACACGCAGAAAGGGGAGAAAA